CCUACGGGAGGCAGCAGUAGGGAAUAUUGCUCAAUGGGGGAAACCCUGAAGCCGCAACGCCGCGUGGAGGAUGAAGGUUUUCGGAUUGUAAACUCCUUUUGUUAGAGAAGAUAAUGACGGUAUCUAACGAAUAAGCCCCGGCUAACUCCGUGCCAGCAGCCGCGGUAAUACGGAGGGUGCAAGCGUUAAUCGGAAUCACUGGGCGUAAAGGGCGCGUAGGCGGGAUAGCAAGUCAGAUGUGAAAUCCUAUGGCUUAACCAUAGAACUGCAUUUGAAACUGUUAUUCUAGAGUAUGGGAGAGGUAGGUGGAAUUCUUGGUGUAGGGGUAAAAUCCGUAGAGAUCAAGAGGAAUACUCAUUGCGAAGGCGACCUGCUAGAACAUAACUGACGCUGAUGCGCGAAAGCGUGGGGAGCAAACAGGAUUAGAUACCCCUGUAGUC
rnacentral:rRNA from 1 species